UACGGGGGGGGGCAAGCUUGUUCGGAAUUACUGGGCGUAAAGGGCUCGUAGGUGGCCAACUAAGUCAGACGUGAAAUCCCUCGGCUUAACCGGGGAACUGCGUCUGAUACUGGAUGGCUUGAGAUUGGGAGAGGGAUGCGGAAUUCCAGGUGUAGCGGUGAAAUGCGUAGAUAUCUGGAGGAACACCGGUGGCGAAGGCGGCAUCCUGGACCAACACUGACACUGAGGAGCGAAAGCCAGGGGAGCAAACGGG
rnacentral:rRNA from 1 species